GAUGAAGAACGCAGCGAAAUGCGAUACGUAGUGUGAAUUGCAGAAUUCAGUGAAUCAUCGAAUCUUUGAACGCACAUUGCACCUCUCGGUAUUCCGGGAGGUAUGUCUGUUCGAGCGUCAUUUGUACCCUCAAGCUCUGCUUGGUGUUGGGUGUUUGUUCCGCCUCUGUGUGUGAACUCGCCUCAAAACAAUUGGCAGCCGGCGUACUUGUUUCGGAGUGCAGCACAUUUUGCGAUCCAGAUCAACGUACAGCGGCAUCCAAGAAGCCUUAUUUAACGCUCUUGACCUCGGAUCAGGUAGGGAUACCCGCUGAACUUAAGCAUAUCAAUAAGCGGAGGA
rnacentral:misc_RNA from 1 species